CAGUCGCCGCGGUAAUACGUAGGUGGCAAGCGUUGUCCGGAAUUAUUGGGCGUAAAGGGCUCGCAGGCGGUUUCUUAAGUCUGAUGUGAAAGCCCCCGGCUCAACCGGGGAGGGUCAUUGGGAACUGGGAAACUUGAGUGCAGAAGAGGAGAGUGGAAUUCCACGUGUAGCGGUGAAAUGCGUAGAGAUGUGGAGGAACACCAGUGGCGAAGGCGACUCUCUGGUCUGUAACUGACGCUGAGGAGCGAAAGCGUGGGGAGCGAACAGAAUUAGAUACCCCCGUAGUCCCUGUCUCUUAUAC
rnacentral:rRNA from 1 species